AUUAAGUCAUUAAAUUUUUAUUUAUUUAUUGGCUUUUCAGAAAAACGCUGGAUACAUAUGACAGCCACUGACUAAUUGCAGACUAAAUCAUCAAAAAUGGGGAAUGUACCAUCAGAAAGUAACAUGGGCAGCAACCUGAGAUGCUGUAAAUGUUAUAAUGUCCUGCCUCCAUGCAUGAGCUUCAACAAUCUUUAUCAAACUACUCUUUAUGGGCGAUAUGUGUAUGUGUUCAACGGAGGUCAAUAUUACAGACCAGUUGGUCAGGAUAAUAUGUACGAGUGUAGAAGUUGCUUUGACCAAUGGGGGAGAAGUGAAGCGGAGAGGCCGGAGAGACAGAGGAGAGAGGAAGAACAGAGAAGAGAACAGGAGAGGAGAGAAGAGGACAAAAGAAGAAAAAAACUCAAUGAAACUCUGGAAAGUUAUUACCAACGAGCUAAAGAGCAGUUUGAGAAACAGGUGAGAGGGCACAUUUCACAGGAAUGUGAGUCUAAGCGAGAUGUACUAAUAAAGCAUCUGCAUAAGUUUGAAGCCAACUAUGAAUCAAUCAGUGACAGUGACGAGUUUCUUGAAAUCCUCUCAGUGAAAUGCAGUCUCCCAAUUACAAAUCUCAGUCUGAGUCAGCUCACAGCUGAUCAGCUCAGUGAGAUCCUUUCAGUCCUGGACAAACUUCUGUUUGAUGAGUGGAUUCGUGCUCCUCCAACCAUCAGCACUCUGCAGCACACUCAGGUGUUCAUCACAGAGCUCUGUGCUCUGUCUCUGGAGAUAUCUGAAGAAGUUUCCUUACAAACCAUCUCCAAUCAUAUGCAGUCACUUUUGGGAUCCAUCGGCCAAUCAGCAAGUGGUGUUUUUGAAAGUUUCCUCUUGACUCAAGCCCUGUAUCUGAACCUGAUGCACCUUUUCAAUGACUGUGGCAGAUCUGAUAAUGAUGCUGUCCUCAUAGCCAAACAAUGGGCAGAAUAUGAGAUUUCCACUGAGAACCUCUUUAUAAUUGAAUUCCUGAGCACCCUCACAUCAUCACUGCAGAGUGCAGUUGGAAGAGCCUCUGUGUUCACUUUAAAUAUGGAAAUCCAAUGUUUAAAGCUUCUCUUAUCCACACUCACAGAUCUAAAUGGAAAAGAAUCCCACUCAGAAUCCACUGAAAUGCUCCUCAAACUUGUGCAAAGAAACCAAUGGACUCCAAUGGAAGCAGUCACAUUGCUUAAAGCACUGUCACAGAAAUAUGCAGAUGCUGAUUCCAUAACUCAAAUCCUUACCUUGGUACAAGUGUAUGACAUACCACCACACUGGAUAGAUGACUGUGGGCGCUCUCUAAUCCAGCUCCUUGAAUCUGCUGCUCCUGAGAGAUUUUGUCAGGAUUUCCAAAAGACUCUGAGAGGAAAUGAUGAGAGCAGUGUAACUGCAGUUCUAGCAGAAGUAAAGAUGUUGUGGAAUUUGGAUGACUCUGCCAUUGAUAUGAUAAAAAACAUUAACAAUGGUGUCCUGAAAUAUACAGAAAAUGUACCAAAAGAAGAACCUUUUAUGAAAGAUUCAUUUAAAUGUGAAUCUUUGAAUUCAGACAACAUACAGAAGUGUCUGUGUCAGCUCUGCAAAGCAGUGUUCAACAUAAAAGGCUGGUGGCCCACAGUGAGGCAGAUGGUGCGGUGGUGUGGACUGGUGCUGACUCAGAAAAGUGGAGUGGUACAACUGGUUGGUGUGGAAGAAGACCCAUGUGUUACAGCCAUGUUUGCAGCCAUGCAAGUCUGCAUGGGAAACAAACUGGACAUUGUGCUGAGCUCUGAUGUUCACUCAGAGGAGCAAACAAAGGAGUGGUCUGACUUCUACAAGCACCUUGACAUUUCAAUCAACACAAACAUGAAGAAGACUGAUCCAUCAUUCCUGGAUGUCUAUGAAGCAGACAUUGUUUAUGGUACAAUGGAUGAUUUUGUGUCUGAUUACGUUCAACGUGGCAUAGAGGCAAUGGAAACAGGGAACCCACAGUUUAGUCGUGGAUUCAUCAUUGAAAAACAAAGUCUCAGUGCUUUGCAUGCUCUGGAACUUUCAAGACUCAAAGACGGUGACUCCCUGGUGUUUGCUGCAGAGGUCCUGCAGAACCUCAUGAGUAAAUUUCACAGUGAAGAUGUGGAACUGAGACAUAUGUUUUUGAAGGCCCUUUUUCAGGUCCUCCAUUGUAACCUAAAAGAAGAUACAAUUACUGACACAAAAAUCAUCACCAUCUCAAAGAAAAUCACAGGAAAGGAAUUACUUUCUAAUGAGAUCUUUAUUUUGACAUUUCUUGAAAAUCUCUUGCAAGUGUUUGCUAGAGAAACAGAAGCUGUUAAAAACAUGACAGAUCCUGCAGGCAAAUGGUGUUUGGAGAGCUUAUUUGCCUGUGUGGAACAAUUCCAAGACUUAGACAAAGAAACCAAAGAAGUCUUCAAGAUGGUUUCAGAUCUUGGGGAACAAAGAAUUUGGUCACCAGUAGAGGUCUUAAACCUUCUUGGAGCAUUAACUCACAACCACCAUGACGACAGCUGUAUUUCCAUCGUGAAGAUUUUACAUUUGAUGGAAACAUAUCAGGUUUCUUCCAAGUGGAAAGAUGAAAACAAAAAAUCUUUCCUUGAGAUCCUUGAAUCAUCCAAAACUCAGAAUCUGAUCCAGCAUCUAGAAAAGAGCCUCAGAGGUGAGAAAACAAAAAGCAUUGACAACCUUUUCUGUGAAAUACGGCAGAUGAAAGUCACUGAUGAACAAACACUGAGUAAAACAUAUGACAUAGUAGCUCAUGUAACAAACUUAAUCAAAACUGGUGAAAUUAAAAAACACACAUGUGAUGUGGAACAUGUUAGGUCUCUGUGUCAAAGCAAAGAAAUUGAGGACCUUCAGGAGAUCCUUGCAGUCUUAUGCAAUGCUGUACACCUCCAUAAAGCUGAAAGGAAGUGGUUUCCCAGGACAACUCAGAUGAUAAGCUGGUGCCUGUUGGCCCUGUCUGACACUGGGAAGCUCCUGGAGAUGGGAACUGGAGAAGGGAAGUCUUGUGUCAUAGCGAUGUUUGCCGUGCUGCGUGUGCUUAGAGGUGAAAAGGUGGAUGUAGUGUCCAGCUCUUCUGCGUUAUGUCAAAGAGAUGCUGAAGAAUGGGCCAAAUUUUACAAAUACUUUGGCAUUACAGUCGACACUAACACAAAUAAAAAUGAGGAUAAAGAUCGGAAAGAAUGCUAUCAGAAGGACGUGGUCUAUGGAACCAUUGAAGCCUUUGCUGCUGAUCACCUUCGCCAAAUAUUUGAGAUGAAGGAUGUGAGGCCUGAUCGUAACUUUCAGUGCAUCAUUAUCGAUGAAGUGGACUCACUGCUGCUAGAUCAAGGAGUGCAGCUGACGUACCUGUCCAGCCCCAUGGUGUCCAUGCAGCACCUGAACAUUAUUCUCACCAUGAUCUGGAGCCACGUCAGUCAGUAUGGCUUCCUAUCUACAGGACACCAGACAUUUGUACGAGGUCCUCCUGCUUCAUUCUUCAAGGCCAUCUAUGACUCAAUGAACACAGAAGACACUGAAAUUAAUGAUCCAAUGGCCAUUUUAAGUAUUGCUGAAGAAUCUAACAUUGUGCCAAAAGGAUUUACAGAAGAUAUGUACAAGAGUGAAAACCAUGAACUUCUCAGUAAACUGAAAACAGUGAGUCAGGAUGCUAUGGUUGACUUUUUCAAAGAAAUUGAGGACUAUGUUCCUUACGGCUUUACUGUUUACACACUAGAUGACAAAGGACUGCUCUGUCUUCAAAAGUGCAGUCCAUACAAUGACCGGGACAUCCCAGAGCUUUCAUUUCUUGUCUUGGAGGAAGGAUUGUGUUGUCCUCUCUAUGAGUCAGAAGAAGUUCUCAUCAAGCCCAUUGCAGAAUUGAUCUCUGAGAGGAUUCAGUACACCCCAUGUGAAAACAAUACAGACAAAAUCAGCAUUCCUGGAUUCUUGAAGAAUCUGGUGGAGAAGAAAGUCUCAGUGUGGGUCCAGAAUGCCUUUCUGGCAAUGUUACUGAAACAAGGUCGAGAAUAUGUCAUGGAAAAUGACAACGUCUGUCCAGUGGACUUCAGAUCCACUGGUAUUGUUGAACUGAAUAAGAAGUGGGGUGAUGGUCUGCAGCAGUUUGUGGAGAUUAAACACCAAGUCAAACUGAGCACAAUUUCAACAGUGACAAACUACAUUUCCAACAUCUCCUUUUUUGAGAAAUACCAGGGAAAAAUAUACGGAACAACAGGAACACUGGGGAGCAAAGCAGACAUUCAGUUUUUGCAGGACCUAUAUCCAAAUCUCUCUGUGUGCAAAAUACCAACAUUCAACAGGAAAAAGUUAUUUGAGGUCAAAGGUGCUCUGAAAAAAACAGCUGAAGAAUGGAAAUCUGAAAUAAAACAUGUGGUCACGGCUCAGAUUUCCCCAAAUUCAUACAGAGAUGGAAGAGCAGCGUUGGUGAUCUGUGAAACUAUCAAUACAGCCAAAGAGAUCUAUGAAGAGCUGAGGAGCAGCAUCCCAAGUAAAAAAGUAAUUCUCUACUGCCGCAGUGACAGAGACCGUUUGAGUAAAAUAGACAAGGAGCUGCUUCCUGGUGAUGUCAUUGUUGCCACAAACCUUGCCGGCCGUGGCACAGACAUUAAAGUGUCCAGAGAGGUGAACAAUAAUGGAGGGUUAUUUGUGAUCCUCUCCUUCCUUUCCGAGAACACAAGAGUGGAACUCCAGGCUUUUGGACGAACUGCACGCAAAGGUAAACCUGGAUCUGCUCAGAUAAUCAUUUCCACUGAACACCUGCAGCCAUCUUUCCACACAGUGUCCUCUCUGGAGGAAGCGAAGAGCACAAGGGACCGACUUGCAGCAGAAAAGAUAAGUCACAUAAUGAACGAUGUUGCUGAGAUGAAACUGCGGGAGGACCUGUUUUCAGAAUACUGUGAAACACUUCAAGAUAUUUAUAACACCACCGAUGGUGACGAGGAAAGAGCUGUUGUUGACAUGAUGAAUGAGUUUUGGGGGAUUUGGCUGCAAACUAAAUCAGAGGAAAUUGAUCAGUUGAAAAGAAAUGAAUUGCAAGAGAGUCUGAAAGCUGAUUUGUCAAAGGCAAAAAGUCAGUCUGAAAGUCAAACUUCACCAUGUUCCAGCAUUUAUCACUACAUCCAGUUUGGGAAUAUUGCACUGGAUGAAAAAAAGUGGGAUACCGCAGCCAUAAUGUUUGAAAAAGCCAUGAAACAGGAUAAAAGCUGGGCAGCUGUAGCUUUUUACACUCGUGCAUACUGCUCUAUACAACAGGCGGAAGGAGAUUACCUCACUAAGGCCAUAGAUGAUCUAAUGAAGGCACAGGAAUCUCUGAAGUUUCUCAGUGAAGAAUCAGUAGUCUGCCUUCAGUUUGUAAAAAUGUCCUCUGCAAACUCAGCCAACAGCAACCCAACCAGCCUGGAAAAACGGUUAUCAACCAAGUGCAACGUUCUAAGUUACUUUGACAAAAACAUUACCGAGGCCAUCGAAAAGUUGGAUGAAAUAAAACAACAAAAGAGGAAUCCAGUGGUAAAAAAAUCCCCUAUUUUCUGCUUGGUAUCAGGGGCUGAUAAAGAUCUCCAAGUUGAAGUCUAUACCCUCUAUAAUCGAGGUCUGAGAUAUAUAUUUUCUGUGGAAGAUGAGCCUCAUUUCUCAUGGGAAGGUCUUCUGGUGACCUUUUUUGCAGUUUUACAGAAUAUUGGAGGAGCAUUGCUCACUGCAUGUUUGUUUCGUACAUUAGCUCAAGUUGGCAUGGGACUCAUUUCUGAAGAAAAAACAGACAGCACGAGUGAGUCUAUGGUGACAGGAGAAUUCAGCUGGAAGUCAUGGGCGAUAGAAAAAGCCAUUUCUCUUGGUGUAUCUCUCGUUGGGUUUGGAGUUGGAAAGUUGAUCGCAAAGAGCUUCAAAUCUUCUGAAACAUUACUCAAAGGAAUGAGCAAAAAGAUGAAGCCGAUGCCAAAGUUUCUCUCCAGACAGGCUGAAGAAAAUGUUAGUGCUGUAACAAAUAUGAAGAAUGCAGAAAUGGCAAUUAAGAAUGGUUUUGGCAAUAAAGAAGAGAAAAUACUGGCAGAUGUAGUAAACAGCAUCAAAUCUGAUUUAAAAGAAAGGAUUGUCCCCAGUGUGGAAUCAAACAUGAAAAAAGACCCCUUAGCUACAUUAGUAGACUUCAUCAUUCUCUCACAACCUGAGGAUAAAAAGCAACUUCAAGAUCUUCUGAAUGAUGAGAGCAGAAAGAAAAAUCUCUUGGCCAUUUUCACAGAGUUAAGCAAAACUGCAGUGCAGCCAUUCUAUGCAGACCUCAGUUGGCAGAAUAAACUGAAUUCAUCUCUCUCCAAAAUAACUGAAAAAGCCAAAUCACACACCAAAGAAAAUGCAUCUGCAAUUCUUACCACAAUCCAAACUCGUUACAUGGGCCGACUGGCAGACAAUACCAUCAGUACAGUGCUCAGCCUCCCAUAUAAGUUUUUCUCAAAUCUUCAUGAAGAGCUGAAAAUAUUUAAAGAAAAGCAAGGAAAACUAGAGAAUGUGAAAGUAAGUGAUCUAUCUGCAGAAAACAUUAAACUAUUGAAAGACUUCAAGCACGACUUAGCUGGCACCAUCAUUACUCUAUUGGCUGAUGCUUUGGUAGAAGUCUUCCACCACAGGUUCUCUACUUAUGUUGUUUCUCAUGUUCACGGUCAAAUGAAAAGUAAUAUUGACCAUUACAUAAUCGUAAACAACUUAAAGAGUGACAGGACAGAGGAAAAACUCAGAGCUGGGCAGAACAACAUAUAUGUGUCAAGAAAGCUGAAUUCUAAACACAAACUUAAAGCAGAGGCAGGUCAGCGCUCACGAUCACAUGCUGAAAAGAUCAAGAACUCCACGACUGCAGGCACCAUCCUCGAUAUCAGAGUCCUGUCAGAAGUCACUGGCACUAAAGUUGUCAUCCUAACAGAGGACAGCAAUGGAAGACUUACCAAAAUGCAGGAGCUGAGCCCAGACACUAGACCUGCCAAUACAACUGUGACGUUGAUCUACAGACCAAAGAGUGACCAAUACCCUGAUGGCCAUUAUGAUGUGCACAUCAAUAACCAGACAGUGAGCAUAGAGAGUGAGGGCAAGAGCUGUUUGUUUCAUGCUUUGGCACGGGAUAUGAAACCAGAAGGCAGCUCUGCCGAGAUCGCUUUGGAAGCAGACCGCCUUCGAUCUGUGGAGGCUGAUGCUCUCCUCAGUAACCCAGGCCAAUGGGAGCCUUUCCUCAAGCACAAAGAGUUGACUGAAGCAAUCAGGGGAGGGGACUGGUAUGUGGCAGAAGUAGCUGCACCCAAAAAGGCCAUAAAAGAAAGCAAAAAGUUACACCAGGAAGAGUUUGGAAAAGUAGAGUUAUACCAAGAAUGGCAAAAAUAUACAAAGAAAAACAAGGAACACAAUCCUCAGCGUCCUCUACUGAACAGUAACAACAACUGAGAAUGAGACUGGUGAACAAUCAGCAACAAUUCUUCCACCUGCCUGAUCAUCAUCAAGAGACCUCUCUAUUAUGAUAUGUUACUUUUAAUUCAUUUUUUUUGUUUGUUUUACUUUAUUGAAGAAAACAAUACUAAAAAAAACCACAUUUAUCUCAAUUUUGACUUUGAGGUAAUUUUUUAAUUUAGUUUUAAUUUAGAUCUUUUGAUUCUCUAGUAAAACAUGCAUUUUAAAUACAGGUAAGACAGCAUAACAAUCAUACAUGCUGUUAGAAAGCCUUGGUCCCGAAUGCUGUUUAGAAUCAGGUCAGGUAGGACCGUUUGAUUUGUUUCUAAAAGGUUAUUUUCAGACUUCAAACAAAUUUUGACAUGAUCAGAAAUGAGUAAAAUUUGAAGGUCAAAUAUUCAAUUCUAAGGAACUCCCAGACACAAUAGCAAAAGCUAGCAUAUUUGAGUCCACUGCAUUAUUAAUCAGUCAGGAAAAAGAAAGGUUAGCCUGUCUACAUGUCCUUCUCUUGUCAGUUUCCAAGUAUAUUCCCAGUUACUGCCCUAUAGUGUAGAUCUAUCUAAUAUGUAAUCUUUUUUCAACAAAAAAGUCAUUUAAUUUCAAUGCAAUUUGAUUAUUAUAUUGAUUAUAUUGUUUUGCUUAUUUACAAAACCAAUUCCAAGUAUUUGGGAUUCUGUGUAAAAUGUAAAUUGAAACCAAAUACAAUCAUUUGCAGAUAUUACAAGUUCAUAUAUCUACAUUUCAGCCUUGUGAAUGCUGCCAAUUCCAUAGACCCUUAUUUGCUGCCUAAAGGUGCAAAGAUAUCCAGUUGGGAUUUUUUGCUUUGACCACUGUACAAUUUUUUUCCCCAGACUCUGAAUGCUUUAAUGAUGUUGUCAUAUCUUCCUAAUUUUGGACAUAGUUAUAUUAUUCUUAUGUAGUUCCACAAUUUAAAGCCAGUUUCUUGCAGACCGGUGAACCUCUACCCAUCUUAACUUCUGAGAUUUUCUUUUUUUUUUUAAUACCCGGUCAUGUUAGUGACCUGUUGUCAAUUCAUAUAAUUAGUUGCAAAAUGUUGCUCCAGUUGUUUAAGUUUAGCACCACCCUCUUGUUGCUCUGUCCCAACCUUUUUGAGACAUGUUGCUACUAUUAAAUUCAAAAUGAGCUAAUAUUUUUCAUACAAUUUUAAACUGUCUCAUUUUAAACAUUUGAUAUAUUUUUACAUUUUAUUAAGAUCAUUGCUUUCUUUUUGUAUUUAAUUUUUUUUAGCUUUAAAAAAAUGGUUUGUAAUCUGAUGUAUCUCUCCUGUGUUCUACACCGCUUAAUUAAUUUGAUUGUUCAAUAACAUAUAAUCAAAGAAAAGUAUUAAUCAAUUGACUUAUAUGGAAUUUGUCAUAUAUGUGUCAACUAAUAAAUGGAAAUUAAGUAAUGACGUAAUUAUGCAUUAUCAUUAAAGUGUUUCAAAUUUAUGCUAAAAUCAAGACUUUAAAGUAACUACAGGUGUUACCGUAUAAUUAAAGAACGCUUAAAAUUGAUAUUUCUGAGGUUAAAAGUGAUCUGUGCAAUUGCAAAAUCUUCUGUGUUUUAAUUCUCACAAUUUUCUUCAUCUUCUGGAUCAAUAUAUAUAUAAUUCAUAAAUCGAGCUUAAAUUUACUGUGAUCUUUGACUAAUUUUUUCCUCCACU
ensembl:lncRNA